AUACAGAUGUUUACAGCAGGUUAGUCCAUUUACAUAAUUUUUUGGCAAGUUGUACAAAUAACUUUGUAAAUUGUUGAAAGGGGGAUCCCAUUAGCACCCGUAAGUACAUUUUUUUGUAUUUAUUAUUGUCACAUUAUUUACUGCCUGGAGAACUAGCAGACUCCAGUGAUCAGCUUUGUUAAAUUACUAUAUCCUAUUUACUGUAUGUUGUGAAAUAAAUACAGAUUAAGUUGUCUGUCAUGUAUUAGUUCAUUUCAGGCUUUAUAUUUUGUUACAAUGCAUAUAAUUUUUUCUUGAGAGUAAUGGAUUUUUUGUAUUGUUAAAAAGGUGGAAGGAGUGGAGCAAAGGAACAGUCAGUGUGGAAAUUCGCAACAGGUGAGCCCAGAGGAGAGGACGCGAUGCUGGGAGAGAUGAGAGCAUUAAUAUUGUUCCCCAUGCUGAGUAGUCUCACGGUUGUACUCUUCAAGCUGUUUUUGUAGACCGGCUUCUCUCUCAGGAUGUCUUGUCCUAUUAAUACUCCUACCAGCCUCAUAUUACUGAGAAUUCUGUACAGACUUGUUCACUCUUCAGUUACAUAUACCUUGGCCACUUAACUAGGUUGUUCCAUGGGAUUAAAUGUAAAAUCUUUGCUGUAGAUUUACCACAAGUAUCACCUCAGUGUGCAUGGAAUUGCUAAUUAUCAUAAAUAUCAGUAACUGGGCAAUGAAUGGAACUUUAACUCUUAAUUGGGUAUAUGCAUGGAAGGAUAGAAAAAAAAUAAGGGCCAGAAAAUUGUCAAUCGCCAGGUGAAAAAAGCUGUAUUGGCUGGCUACAGGGACCACACAGGGGGUGGUGAGGCUAGCCAACUUGACUGCAAAUGGAUAGUUGAGAAGUUUGGGUGCAUUAGUUUCAAAUACAGUUUGCCGAAUAGUAGGAGUCACUUUUAUGAAAUUAAAAUAUUUUGUGGAAAUCUCAUGAUACAAAUAUUGAUCAAGCUGCACUCUUUAUUGGGAACACUAAACCCUUGGUUACAGUGAUGCAGUCAUGGUUAUUGUAUUUUUAUUCGGUAAUUAAUUUGAGGACAAACUCAAAGAAACAGAGGUCAAUAUUUGUUGAAUAGUUUUAUAAAUUAUUUCCUUACAGUGAAAACGGGUUUACUGGUUCUGCAAAUAGAAAUUGCUAGUUAAAAAAGAAAUCAGAAUAUAAAUGAAUUGCUGAAGAUGUGUCCUUGGGAGUUGUGAAAAUUACUUUCCCCAAGACUUGUAGUUGAUGCCUCAUGGGCUCUCCAAGCUCUUUUUGUUUAUUUAUUUAUUUUAUUAAUAUUUAUUUAGUUUCUCAUAGUGACUGGAAACUAUAGUGCUUCUUGCCCUCCAAUUCAGUGUUAUCAUUGGGAACUGAUGCAAGGCUAACUAGCAGGGUGUAUUACAACCAGGUGAGAAGACAAAAAAUCAAGAAUAAAAUUUCCAGACUAGUUAAAAUAGAUUAGCUUUUUCUCAGUACAUGUGCUUCACAUCGUAAUUGAGUGAACCUUUCAAGUGAACGAAAAGAGCAUACUAAAGAGUUGUACACGUCACACUGCUGGUUGUUUAAGUAAAUAAGAAAUACAUCCCACAGCAAUUUGUAAAGUCAAACUGUAUAUCAUUGUUGACAAAGCAGAGACCCAUUAGUAGGUUGGUUAGCUGUGCCAUGCCCCUGACUAACUAACCUAACGUGACACUCCGAUGCACACGCCAGCAGUCACAACAGUUUCAGUUUCCCCAGCUUGCAGCCUCUCUGGAGCCCUGUUAUGUUUCCGCAUGGCACUCCGCUCUUGAUUAGCUUGUUGGUGAUGGUGAAUCUGGGAAGUGAGGCCACAUCUCAGUUUGGGGCCCAUGAGCACCUCUCACCAGCUGCACUCACUAGUAGCUUGACCAAUGAUUUCCUUCUACCCUUUUGGGCAUUGUAGGGAUAGAAUGAAGUUUGUUUUUUGGAUAUUGCUUCACUAAAUUGUUCUCAGUUCUUUUGGGACUCAGGUUGCAAAUGUUUUAUUAGACAGACUUACAUUCUGCACUUGAAUGAUGACUAUCAGUAAUAGAGUGAGUGUGGUUUUAGUGAAGGUGACUCAAGUUGGCCUUGUUGCUCAGUAGCCCUAGCUGCUCCAAAAUGAGCAUCUCAGUCUUCCAGCAGCCACCAGGUAGGCUGAAUUCACAGCACCAGGGGCUGUUGGGUUUCAGUCCCCCAACCGAAUGUGGUUUGGUGAUUCGUUCACAGCCUAUCACGGUGCUGUUGGACCUUCUAGUCCCCAGCCCCUUCAGGGGGCUUGGUGAAUUCUCUCAUUACUACUCUGUGUCGUACUAUGUUAGGUUUCACUGCUGGUUUGGGUCCAACUUGUACCAGCAUAUUGAUUGCAAGUGAGCUUAUUAUGUUGAGCAGGAAAGUUGGGGACUGGAGGGCUGGAUGCUCCUCAGACCAGACCCCUCGGCCGCUGUGACGCCAGGACAACCACCUGUCCUUUUUGGAGCACUUAUGUGAUCACGCCAUCCUGAACUGUUAUCAGAAGAAUUUCUCACACAAAGCUUGAGCAGAAAACUUUCAGAGGAAACAAAAUUGUCCUUGGUUUAACCCCUUCACUCCGGCGACGCUGACGUCGGCGUCCAACGGUGUCACCGUUAGUCCUCUUCUAAACCUCUUAAUUCUCUUCCAUUUCCUCUUAAUCCUCUUUUAAACCUUUUAAGAGGAAAUGGAAGAAGAUUAAGAGGAAUUUAGAGGAGGAUUGAGAGGUUUAGAAGAGGAUUAAUCCUCUUCCAUUUCCUCGACCCUUUCCAUACAGUGAUGCCGACAUCUGCGUCACGGAUGGAAAGGGUUAAGAUUGCCACUUCAUGGAAAAAAUAAUCCAGUUGUCAUCUCUAUUUUCUGUAUAAACACUUUCCAUGCAACAUCUGGCAACUGCAAAUCCCACCCACUGUGGGAGAUUUCCAAGAGCUUUAAUUUUAGUCUCCCACCAGCUAUGAAAGCGGUGGUUUGUACAUUGUCUCUGAGAGUUAUACUGCAUGCAAUAAAGGUAUAAAAAGUGUGCCCCACUGGUGAGUCAUUCCACAGGCAUUUUGAAUUUUUCGUUAGUAUUGUGCAGUUACUCGCCGAUGGGCACCAAAUUUAUGAUGUGUUUCCCAUAUAUUUCAGUCUGUUUAUGUAUCACUCAAUCCAUAUGCACACAUCCAUGAUCUCUUAAUGAUUUUUGAAGAUGUAUGGAGUUAGAUGCAAUAAAUUAACACUGAUACAACAAGAAUCUGAUGACAAAGAUGAUGCCUCAAGCUAUGGCUGCCCACAAUGCAAUUUUUAUAUAUUCAAACCUUGUACUUCGGAGGCAUAGACAUGAAAUUUUCAAGUAUAUGGUGGUAAGUCAAACAAUGCUUUCCAUUUGCUUCAUGAUGGAACUGUUGUAACUUUGUGAUAUGCUCAACAAAGGCAUGACAGUAUAUUCUCAACUUUUACAGUGCACUCUUUCUAAAAGGAAUAUUUUUUGCUGUGCAAAACCAGAUUAUUUUAAUAUCUUCCAUUGCUAUUUCAUGCAGUUUUCUUAUGGGAAAAAAGGAAUAUUUAGCUUUGAAAAUAUUUUUUUUUACUUUGCAUUAAAAUAAAAAUAAAAAAUAGUAAGAGGAAUAAUUUCCGUACUUCAUACUUUUAAUUUGACCUUUAGAAUAGGAAAUGGUUAUUUUUAUGAGUAUGCAAUGUAUUUCAUAUAAUAUAUUGACAUAAUUGUGUAUAAAAAAUAAUUACUAUUUCCUGUAC